GUUCUGUUCUGGUGUGUGAAUUUAUAGUUUUGAGCCGAAGUUCUGUGUUCUGUACUUUUUUCGGAUGGGGCCUACUCGGUUAGAGUUUGCGAGCGAAAGAAAGAGAAAACGCAAGUGCGUUGUUCGUUUCGCUUCGGUUUCUUUUUUCCUUGUAUAGUUUUCGGUCUACAAUGCAAUUGCGUUUUAAAGUGCAAUUUCGGUUCAGUUGGGUUGCGAAGCAGAACCAAAUAACGUGACACGAUAAAAGACAAGGCCUGGCGUAGGGCGGGGAGCAAGAACCAACCACAAAUUGGUUGCAUGCUGAAGACUCGUCAUUGGAAAUGAUCAGACAGAGCGAAACCGAGAGACUAGUGUUCUGAAACGAAUUGGUUUCGGUACAGCUCAGUAUGCGAACUAUAUGGAACAUAAUUCAAAUUGCAGUUCAAUCAAGUCUAUGAUAUGAGCGAUUUUUUUUUCGAGACAACAUGAAAAGCGUUUAAUUGGAUGAGAAAAAUAUUGAACAUCAAAUCUGUUGUAUUUUUUAGUUCAAGGAAAUUUAAGAAUUGUGACAAUGGUGGCUUAAUGUAGCCGGAUCUUGUUAACUGAUUGUCAAGGAGUGCUUUAGUUACUACCCAAAGUAAAGAUGAAACUUCUGAAUGCUUUGGUAUUCUUCAAAAUUGUUCCCUUCUUAUUUCCAGAAAUAUGUAAGACCUCGAAUGUGGAAGGUAUACGGAUGUUGAGCAUCUGAGUACCCCUCACAGUAAUUUCUCGCUUAUCGCGUUAAUGCAGGACUUUGGAGAGGCGAACUUCUUUUCCCGUAAAACUCGUGGAAUUUAAAACUAAGCUCAAUUUAGGCUGAUUAGACAAAUAAUCAAAAACCGGUUGGUAACGGUAGUGGCUAGGUUCAUCCCUUCGCAACAAGUGGGCUAGCUAUCACUCUUUUAAGGAGAUCGGAAAUAGUAGCAGGCAACUGCGCAUGAAGUGCCAGUGGAGGGAAUCACAUUUCCUUCUUGACUAGCAUGUCGAGAGAGAAAAUAGAUGGAGCGUGGUUAAUGUGGUUCAUCAAUAAGAACAGAGAUCUGCCAUGAAGAUGGCUGCGCAGAAGCUUAACUCCAUCAUUGUCUCUGCAUACUCAAAAUCGAACAUCAAUUAGGAUCUCAAAUAGGCUCUGAAGAGACUUCUUCAACCAAUGAUGGCGGCUGUAACAAAAAACUGUUCCGUAGUUUGGUGCUUCUGUAAA